AACGAACGCUGGCGGCAGGCUUAACACAUGCAAGUCGAACGCACCGCAAGGUGAGUGGCGCACGGGUGAGUAACGCGUGGGAAUGUACCGUUUAGUACGGAAUAGCUCCGGGAAACUGGAAUUAAUACCGUAUACGCCCUUCGGGGGAAAGAUUUAUCGCUAAACGAUCAGCCCGCGUGAGAUUAGGUAGUUGGUGGGGUAAUGGCCUACCAAGCCUACGAUCUCUAGCUGGUCUGAGAGGAUGAUCGGCCACACUGGAACUGAGACACGGUCCAGACUCCUACGGGAGGCAGCAGUGGGGAAUAUUGGACAAUGGGGGAAACCCUGAUCCAGCCAUGCCGCGUGAAUGAUGAAGGCCUUAGGGUUGUAAAGUUCUUUUACCGAUGAAGAUAAUGACGGUAGUCGGAGAAAAAGCCCCGGCUAACUCUGUGCCAGCCGCCGCCGUAA
rnacentral:rRNA from 1 species